CAGUAGCCACGGUAAUACAGAGGGUGCGAGCGUUAAUUGGAUUUACUGGGCGUAAAGCGUGCGUAGGCGGCUUCUUAAGUCGGAUGUGAAAUCCCUGAGCUUAACUUAGGAAUUGCAUUCGAUACUGGGAAGCUAGAGUAUGGGAGAGGAUGGUAGAAUUCCAGGUGUAGCGGUGAAAUGCGUAGAGAUCUGGAGGAAUACCGAUGGCGAAGGCAGCCAUCUGGCCUAAUACUGACGCUGAGGUACGAAAGCAUGGGGAGCAAACAGGAUUAGAUACCCCAGUAGUCCCUGUCUCUUAUAC
rnacentral:rRNA from 1 species